rnacentral:rRNA from 1 species
GAUGAACGCUAGCUACAGGCUUAACACAUGCAAGUCGAGGGGUAACGAGAGGAAAGCUUGCUUUCCUUGUCGACGACCGGCGCACGGGUGAGUAACGCGUAUCCACCCUGCCCCCAACUAGGGAAUAACCUUGCGAAAGUAAGACUAAUACCCUAUAAUUUCCUCAGAUGCCAUAUGACGAGGAAUAAAGAUUUAUCGGUUGUGGAUGGGGAUGCGUCUGAUUAGCUUGUUGGCGGGGUAACGGCCCACCAAGGCAACGAUCAGUAGGGGUUCUGAGAGGAAGGUCCCCCACAUGGGAACUGAGACACGGUCCAAACUCCUACGGGAGGCAGCAGUGAGGAAUAUUGGUCAAUGGGCGGAAGCCUGAACCAGCCAAGUAGCGUGCAGGAUGACGGCCCUAUGGGUUGUAAACUGCUAUUAUACAGGAAUAAAGUUAGCCACGUGUGGUUAUUUGUAGGUACUGUAUGAAUAAGGACCGGCUAAUUCCGUGCCAGCAGCCGCAGUAA